UGAUCUUUGCCCCUUUUCCACUCCACAAUGAACGAAGAAGAGAGCAGUUUGGACCCAUAGUUCUGCACUCUAGGAUUGUCAAUGGUGUAUUUGUUGAAAAGGGACACUUGCAAUUUCUGAUCGGGUUAGCACCAGAAAAUGAGACACGCUCCCUCCCUCCAAGCGUCGUUGCUACUGAUCAGGCAGUCACCCUUCUCUUUUUUGGUGUACUGAUCUGCUGACGCCAAAUCCACUUUCCUCUGUACUGAGGUCGUGCCAAUGCGGGAUCUAGUCGUUAGUGGUCUGGACAAACGAGGAAGACUACACUGUCUGUUUCUCUCACAGAAAUCAAAACAACAGCCUCCACACCCUAUCCCAAUCAGACGGACAAUCAUCCUCAGGUACCAAAUCCACCCCCUCCUGCAUAUCCGAAUUUGGUCAAUAACGUGGCCAACCUGGGUGUCAAAAUGGCUCGAAGCGAGGUAGAGGUGGCCACUGAGGCUGUAAGGGUUAUUGGCGAUCUCCUUACCAGGCCCAAUGAGAUGAACAGGUCUCAUAUUGCCCAACAAUCGGCAUCUAGUGCGAUGGCAGCUGCACAAGGAGCCCGAAUCAUAGCCGACGGCACACAAACAAGAGAAUCAAGGGAGAACGCAGAUAUCGCCGAAUCUUUGGCCCUAACAGCCCAGAAACUUGCUAAUCUCGUGAACUAAGAUCAAUAUAAAAAUUAGAGUAUG